rnacentral:rRNA from 1 species
UACGAAGGGGGCUAGCGUUGCUCGGAAUCACUGGGCGUAAAGCGCACGUAGGCGGAUUAUUAAGUCGGAGGUGAAAGCCUGGGGCUCAACCCCAGAAUUGCCUUCGAUACUGAUAGUCUCGAGUUUGGAAGAGGUUGGUGGAACUCCGAGUGUAGAGGUGAAAUUCGUAGAUAUUCGGAAGAACACCAGUGGCGAAGGCGGCCAACUGGUCCAAUACUGACGCUGAGGUGCGAAAGCGUGGGGAGCAAACAGG